GACGAAGGACCCGAGCGUUAUCCGGAUUCAUUGGGUUUAAAGGGUGCGUAGGCGGAUUGAUAAGUCAGUGGUGAAAGCCUGUUGCUUAACAACAGAACUGCCAUUGAUACUGUUGAUCUUGAAUAUGUUUGAUGUGGGCGGAAUAUGACAUGUAGAGGUGAAAUUCGUAGAUAUUCGGAAGAACACCAGUGGCGAAGGCGACUCACUGGACACGUAUUGACGCUGAGGUGCGAAAGCGUGGGGAGCAAACAGG
rnacentral:rRNA from 1 species